GGCCUGGUGGUGUAGUGGUAACACACCUGCUUUACCUAGUGCAGAUUAAAGUGGGUUUCAGCAGGGGUCCCUUGUUCGACUCAAGGUCAGGCCA